GGAUGAAGAUGCUUAUAUUUUUUGUCUCUUAUUUGAUUCAAACAGCUUGGAUUAGAAGAAAAGGAGAAAAAAAAAUAUGAGAAGAAGGAGGAAAAAAAAAGAAAAGGAAUUUGGCAAGUGACUAAUCCACAAUAUUGUCUAAUUUGGCAUAUGGAGAAACACCCCCCCAAGGACUGGGACCAUCCUCUGUGUUUUAUCAUCAGAGACAUCUUGGCCUACAGUGAAGCCAAAACCACAUGACUCUACAAGCAAAUGGAUGAGAAGGCUUUUCAGAGGAACAAAACACUCAUUACAUUAGAUAGCAAG
rnacentral:lncRNA from 1 species